AUGGGGCAAGACAAUUUAUGUCGUGAUCUCUGGAAAGUGUACUGCCUGCCAAAGAUCCAUCAUUUUUUGUGGCGUUUUGCACACAAUAUUCACCACCUUCCGAGAGAUGUUGAAAGGAUUGGGGUGGUGCUUAACACAGAUUGUGUGCUAUGUCAUAGGCUUCCUGAGGAUGGUGCACACUUGUUUCUAUGCUAUAAGGAAGUCGGGAAAAUGUGGAGAGCUUGCAACUUGGAACAUGUCUGUAGCCAACUGUUGGACUGCCAAACCCCGAAGGAGGUUCUUCUAGCCCUGUUGAAAAUGUCAAAUGAAGUGAAGACGUGA
rnacentral:rRNA from 1 species